rnacentral:rRNA from 1 species
UACGAACUGUGCAAACGUUAUUCGGAUUCACUGGGCGUAAAGGGCGCGUAGGCGGCGCUCCAAGUUAGGCGUGAAAGUCCUGGGCUCAACCUGGGAACUGCGCUUAAGACUGGAGUGCUUGAGGAUGGAAGAGGGUCGUGGAAAUUCCCAGUGUAGAGGUGAAAUUCGUAGAUAUUGGGAAGAACACCGGUGGCGAAGGCGGCGACCUGGUCCAUUACUGACGCUGAGGCGCGAUAGCGUGGGGAGCAAACAGG